rnacentral:rRNA from 1 species
AACGAACGCUGGCGGCAGGCCUAACACAUGCAAGUCGAGCGAAGCCUUCGGGCUUAGCGGCGGACGGGUGAGUAACGCGUGGGAACGUGCCCUUUGGUACGGAAUAGCCCCGGGAAACUGGGAGUAAUACCCUAUGUGGUCGAGAGCCGACAGAUUUAUCGCCCAAGGAUCGGCCCGCGUUGGAUUAGGUAGUUGGUGGGGUAAUGGCCUAACAAGCCGACGAUCCAUAGCUUGUUUGAGAGGAUGAUCAGCCACACUGGGACUGAGACACGGCCCAGACUCAUACGGGAGGCAGCAGUGGGGAAUCUUAGACAAUGGGGGAAACCCUGAUCUAGCCAUUCCGCGUGAUCGAUGAAGGCCUUAGGGUUGUAAAGAUCUUUCAGUGGGGAAGAUAAUGACUGUACCCACAGAAGAAGCCCCGGCUAACUCCGUGCCAGCCGCCGCCGUAAGAC